GAUUAACGCUGGCGGUGUGCCUUAUGCAUGCAAGUCGAACGGACCUUUAUUUUUGAGACCUCCUACCCUUAGGAUGCCUCAUAAAUAAUGGUUAGUGGCGAACGGGUGAGUAACACGUUGGUACCUACCCUGAAGUGGGGGAGUAACUGGCUGAAAGGUCAGCUAAUACCGCAUGUGAUCGCAAGAUCAAAGCAGCAAUGCGCUUCAGGAGGGGCCUGCGUCUGAUAGCUAGUUGGUAGUGUAAUGGACUACCAAGGCGACGAUCAGUAGCUGGUUCGAGAGGAUGAACAGCCACACUGGGACUGAGAUACGGCCCAGACUCCUACGGGAGGCAGCAGCAGGGAAUCUUCCACAAUGGACGAAAGUCUGAUGGAGCAACACCGCGUGCAGGAUGACGGUCUUC
rnacentral:rRNA from 1 species